rnacentral:pre_miRNA from 1 species
AUAUUGCUCUCUCCGUUUGAAAAUACUUGUCAGAGAAAUGGAUGUAUCUAGACAUAUGUUAGUUGUAGAUACAUUUUAUCAGUUUUUCCGACAAGUAUUUCCGGACAAAGGGAGUAGAUG